rnacentral:rRNA from 1 species
GACGAACGCUGGCGGCGUGCUUAACACAUGCAAGUCGAACGGAAAGGCCCUGCUUGCAGGGUACUCGAGUGGCGAACGGGUGAGUAACACGUGGGUGAUCUGCCCUGCACUUCGGGAUAAGCCUGGGAAACUGGGUCUAAUACCGGAUAGGAGCCGUCUUUAGUGUGAUGGUUGGAAAGUUUUUUUCGGUGUAGGAUGAGCUCGCGGCCUAUCAGCUUGUUGGUGGGGUAAUGGCCUACCAAGGCGGCGACGGGUAGCCGGCCUGAGAGGGUGGACGGCCACAUUGGGACUGAGAUACGGCCCAGACUCCUACGGGAGGCAGCAGUGGGGAAUAUUGCACAAUGGGCGCAAGCCUGAUGCAGCGACGCCGCGUGGGGGAUGACGGCCUUCGGGUUGUAAACUCCUUUCGCUAGGGACGAAGCUUUUUGUGACGGUACCUAGAUAAGAAGCACCGGCUAACUACGUG